GUGCGAAGCCGUAAGGCGAUGUAUACGGACUGACGCCUGCCCGGUGCUGGAAGGUUAAGAGGAUCCGUGAGCCCCUUGGAUACAUGGGGUGAGGCGGUGAGUUCAAGCCCCAGUAAACGGCGGUGGUAACUAUAACCAUCCUAAGGUAGCGAAAUUCCUUGUCGGGUAAGUUCCGACCUGCACGAAUGGCGUAACGACUUCUCCGCUGUCUCAACCAUGAACUCGGUGAAAUUGCAGUACGAGUAAAGAUGCUCGUUUCGCGCAGCAGGACGGAAAGACCCCGUGACCUUUACUAUAGUUUGGUAUUGGUGUUUGGGUUGGCUUGUGUAGGAUAGGUGGGAGACUGUGAAGCUGUCACGCUAGUGGUGGUGGAGUCGUUGUUGAAAUACCACUCUGGUCAAUCUGGAUGUCUAACUUCGGGCCAUGAUCUGGUUCAGGGACAGUGCCUGAUGGGUAGUUUAACUGGGGCGGUUGCCUCCUAAAGUGUAACGGAGGCGCCCAAAGGUUCCCUCAGCCUGGUUGGCAAUCAGGUGUUGAGUGUAAGUGCACAAGGGAGCUUGACUGUGAGAGUGGCGACUCGAGCAGGGACGAAAGUCGGGACUAGUGAUCCGGCAGUGGCUUGUGGAAGCGCUGUCGCUCAACGGAUAAAAGGUACCUCGGGGAUAACAGGCUGAUCUUGCCCAAGAGUCCAUAUCGACGGCAUGGUUUGGCACCUCGAUGUCGGCUCGUCGCAUCCUGGGGCUGGAGUCGGUCCCAAGGGUUGGGCUGUUCGCCCAUUAAAGCGGUACGCGAGCUGGGUUCAGAACGUCGUGAGACAGUUCGGUCCCUAUCCGCUGCGCGCGUUGGAGAAUUGAGAAAGGCUGUCCUUAGUACGAGAGGACCGGGACGGACGAACCUCUGGUAUGUCAGUUGUACCGCCAGGUGCAUGGCUGAUUGGCUACGUUCGGGAGGGAUAACCGCUGAAGGCAUCUAAGCGGGAAGCCUGUUUCGAGAUGAGUUCUCCUGGCACUCUUUGUGGUGUGUGAGGCUCCUUAGAGAUGAUGAGGUUGAUAGGCCGGGUAUGGAAGCGUUGUAAGGCGUGGAGUUGACUGGUACUAAUAGGCCGAAGACUUAUUCAC
rnacentral:rRNA from 1 species